rnacentral:rRNA from 1 species
AACGAACGCUGGCGGCAUGCCUAACACAUGCAAGUCGAACGAGACCUUCGGGUCUAGUGGCGCGCGGGUGCGUAACGCGUGGGAACCUGCCCUUAGGGUCGGAAUAACUCCCCGAAAGGGUAGCUAAUACCGGGUAAUGUUAUCGCAGCAUAGAUGUAUGGCCUUUGGAUGGGCCCGCGUUGAAUUAGCUAGUUGGUAGGGUAAAAGCCUACCAAGGCGACGAUCCAUAGCUGGGCUAAGAGGAUGAUCAGCCACACUGGGACUGAGACACGGCACCGAUGCCGACGGGAGGGAGAAGUGCGGAAGAUUGAACCAGGAGCGAAAGCCUGAUCCAGCAAUGCGGCGUGUGUGAUGAAGGCCUUAGGGGUGUAAAGCUCUUUUACUAGGGAUGAUAAUGACAAUGGCGGGAGAAUAAGCUCCGGCUAACUCCGUGC